AGAAGGUAAAAAGAAGUUAUAUCUUUGAUGGAUGCAACAUACUUAACGUUAUACGCUUAUGCAAAACGGCUCUAAGUAUUUUAACCACAUAAAGAUUCAGAGAGGUUCAGCGCUACCACCUUUGGAGCAAUGCACAACAUGCUGCAGAAAUUUUCACUGCCCUUUUUGUGAUGGUCUUUGAGGCACCCUUUGAUUUCACAGCUUCUGAUUUCCCUCUUAUUCGAAAAUGGUGGUGCCUUAUUCUGAUGGAGAACUUUGCCAUUGAAAGGAAACAUUGAUGUGCAGGUGCCACCUAAAGCACAAGAAACUGAAAUUGACGACAAGGAACCACAGAUAGUCAAAGACCUCAGGACAGGAGCUGCAUGGCUCCGGGAAAACUGCCACUCGUUCAGAGGUUUUGUGGAUGAGCCUUUUGUGGAUGAGCCGUGGUAUCUUAACCUAAAUAAGGAAGACCAGGAAAAGGCCCUUAAAGGGUAACUAAACACCUGCUCAGAGUCUGACUCCACCCACUAGAAAUAUUUGAAAAUGCUGGAAAAGUGGGCAGACCCCGGCGGGGAUAGAGGGAACGAACCGAGUGCGGGGGGGGACCUGAGACUCGUAGUGACGGAUUAAUUGACAGCUGUUGUCAGACUCUAUGUUAUUAGGCUUGUUUGAGAUGCGCCUUGCCUCGCCUGAAAUGUAGGUGAGAGUAGGCGGCUGCAGUGAGGGGAGGAGUGAAAAAAGUGCAGGCAAGCCGGACACUUCCUGAAUCUCGCUGUGUUGUGGACUGCAAACGUCAGCAAUGGAAGAGAUCGCGUUCGCGUUCUUUAUCGCAGACGAAGUGGAUGCAAUUGAAAUACCACUGUUUUUACACGAAGAUGGUUAUGAUGAGGAGAAUCACCGAGGGUGAACAGUGCUCAUUACUUAAAAUGGCUUAUUCAGUAAAUGGUAGGGAUAUAAAUCUAGAGUGGUAUGUUGCAACUUGCAUCUAAUGAAACUUAUGUCGUGUAAAAAAUAA